rnacentral:rRNA from 1 species
CCUACGGGAGGCAGCAGUGGGGAAUAUUGGACAAUGGGGGCAACCCUGAUCCAGCCAUGCCGCGUGUGUGAAGAAGGCCCUCGGGUUGUAAAGCACUUUCAGUGAGGAAGAACGCCUGGUGGUUAAUACCCAUCAGGAAAGACAUCACUCACAGAAGAAGCACCGGCUAACUCCGUGCCAGCAGCCGCGGUAAUACGGAGGGUGCGAGCGUUAAUCGGAAUUACUGGGCGUAAAGCGCGCGUAGGUGGCUUGAUAAGCCGGUUGUGAAAGCCCCGGGCUCAACCUGGGAACGGCAUCCGGAACUGUCAAGCUAGAGUGCAGGAGAGGAAGGUAGAAUUCCCGGUGUAGCGGUGAAAUGCGUAGCGAUCGGGAGGAAUACCAGUGGCGAAGGCGGCCUUCUGGACUGACACUGACACUGAGGUGCGAAAGCGUGGGUAGCAAACAGGAUUAGAUACCCGUGUAGUC